GGCUCAAUGGCCAAGUGGUAAGGCGUCGGUCUCGUAAACCGAAGAUCGAGGGUUCAAUUCCCUCUUGAGCCU